GACGAACCGUGCGAACGUUGUUCGGAAUCACUGGGCUUAAAGGGCGCGUAGGCGGGUGCCCAAGUCCGGGGUGAAAGCCCCAGCUUAACUGGGGAACUGCCUCGGAUACUGGGCGUCUGGAGGGGGGUAGGGGUACACGGAACGCUGGGUGGAGCGGUGAAAUGCGUUGAUAUCCAGCGGAACUCCGGUGGCGAAAGCGGUGUACUGGACCCCCCCUGACGCUGAGGCGCGAAAGCCAGGGGAGCGAACGGG
rnacentral:rRNA from 1 species